UAAUACGGAGGGUGCGAGCGUUAAUCGGAAUUACUGGGCGUAAAGCGCAUGCAGGUGGUUUGUUAAGUCAGAUGUGAAAGCCCGGGGCUCAACCUCGGAAUUGCAUUUGAAACUGGCAGACUAGAGUACUGUAGAGGGGGGUAGAAUUUCAGGUGUAGCGGUGAAAUGCGUAGAGAUCUGAAGGAAUACCGGUGGCGAAGGCGGCCCCCUGGACAGAUACUGACACUCAGAUGCGAAAGCGUGGGGAGCAAACAGGAUUAGAUACCCUGGUAGUCCACGCCGUAAACGAUGUCUACUUGGAGGUUGUGGCCUUGAGCCGUGGCUUUCGGAGCUAACGCGUUAAGUAGACCGCCUGGGGAGUACGGUCGCAAGAUUAAAACUCAAAUGAAUUGACGGGGGCCCGCACAAGCGGUGGAGCAUGUGGUUUAAUUCGAUGCAACGCGAAGAACCUUACCUACUCUUGACAUCCAGAGAACUUUCCAGAGAUGGAUUGGUGCCUUCGGGAACUCUGAGACAGGUGCUGCAUGGCUGUCGUCAGCUCGUGUUGUGAAAUGUUGGGUUAAGUCCCGCAACGAGCGCAACCCUUAUCCUUGUUUGCCAGCGAGUAAUGUCGGGAACUCCAGGGAGACUGCCGGUGAUAAACCGGAGGAAGGUGGGGACGACGUCAAGUCAUCAUGGCCCUUACGAGUAGGGCUACACACGUGCUACAAUGGCGCAUACAGAGGGCAGCCAACUUGCGAGAGUGAGCGAAUCCCAAAAAGUGCGUCGUAGUCCGGAUCGGAGUCUGCAACUCGACUCCGUGAAGUCGGAAUCGCUAGUAAUCGUGGAUCAGAAUGCCACGGUGAAUACGUUCCCGGGCCUUGUACACACCGCCCGUCACACCAUGGGAGUGGGCUGCAAAAGAAGUAGGUAGUUUAACCUUCGGGAGGACGCUUACCACUUUGUGGUUCAUGACUGGGGUGAAGUCGUAACAAGGUAGCCG
rnacentral:rRNA from 1 species